rnacentral:misc_RNA from 1 species
CGCACAUUGCGCCCUUUGGUAUUCCGAGGGGCAUGUCUGUUCGAGCGUCAUUACAACCCUCAAGCUUCUGCUUGGUAUUGGGCUUCAUCCUGCCUAAAGGAUGUGCCUAAAACUCAUUGGCGGUUGCACUUAGCUCCCUUGCGUAGUUAUUAUUUUCUCGCUUGGAAUUUUAGGUGUAACCCGCCUGAGAACCUCACAUAUUUCUCAAGGUUUGACCUCGGAUCAGAUAGGGAUACCCGCUGAACUUAA